UAGCCCUGAAAAAGCAAGGUACUUGAGUGCAUGUGUUACGAAAAGCAUAUGCGUAGUCCCAUGGACUUAAUAGAACUACAGUAGAACCUCAGAGUUACGAACACCAGAGUUAAGAACUAACCAGUGAACCACACACCUCCUGUGAAACUGGAAGUACACAACUAGGCACCUGCAGAGUCCAAAGAAAAAAACCAAAUACAACAUAGUACUGUGUUGAAUGUAAACUACUAAAAAAAAUAAAAGGCAAGUUUAAAAAAAAAGAUUUGACAAGUGCUCCCCCUGCUGGUGCCAAGACAGCAUGAAGGAGAAAGCCACCUGACUCCAAUACAGAGGGGACAAGUGUCUGACUUGGCGUGGUGGAGGAAGGGCAGUGGAGGAAAUACAUUGAGACUAGGAACCUGUGUAGACAGAAGCUGGGGCCAUGCAUCAUAAAAUCAUAAACAAAUUGAUGGGAAAGAGAAGAAAUAAAAGUAGAGAGGUCCAAAAGGAAGGGAGAAGAGAAGGCAACUUCACAGAAGAGGGGAGUAAGAAGGAAAUGGGAGCAGCAAGCCCAGCUGAGCAAAUCAGAUCUGGAGACUCUAAGUCAAGUCAUUUGAAGGUGCAGGAUGGGGCCCUUUUUGAGUCACAGCAGAAGAAUAGGACUGACUCAGUUUUUCAUCCUACCUUGCAGAACACAUUCAUAGCAUAAACAAUACAGCUAUACUUUUACAAGGAAUGGAAGUUAAUGGUGCAUUGGACAAUGGCAGGUUCAGAUAAUGGUGUCAUCAAGAGCCUUCCAGCAAUUAAUCACAAACACAGACUUUGUUAGACAUAUUUCAGUGUGACACUGGGGGAAGCUAGGGAAACGCUUUAAACGUUGCACUGAAAGGCAUUCAGUGGAAAUGUAUGAUUUCCAGAAAUGUCACAAAUCACAAGUAGAACAAAGACUUUGUGUUGUGUUGACCAACAGUCAAGUUGUGUCUAUUGCCACCAGCUGGUUAGGUUUUAAAGGAAAGCAGGGUAAGAGUCAUAGCAUCAUGUGGCAUGCAUGCCAGUGAAGUGAAAAGCAUGUCACACAUACCUCUUUGGCAAUGGUAGCCUGUUAUGUUUAUUAAGGUUAUGCCACGACACUGCUAGUCUGCUAUUUGGAAAGUAGAAGUGAUUACUCUUUAGCUAGUGAUUUUCUUUUCUUUCGAGGAGCGACUUACAACUUUAACAUUUGUUUGACUCUUUCAUUAGAAACAAUAGUCAUUUUAUGAUAGUUUGUGUCAGUCAAUACAGAUUCUAGUUUAAAUGUAUUUCUCACUUAUGCCAGUUACUCUUCAGCUAGAUUGCAAACGAAGUCAUUGUAUAUUGCAAAUAGGGUUUCCAGUUGCCCAUUUUUUGUCUGGAACGCAUGGUCGAAAAGGGACCCUGGUGAUUCUGAUCAGCACCAAUGGCUGGGCCCUUAAAGGUCUGGUUGGCAGUGCAGUGGGGCUAAGGCAGGUUUCCUGCAGCUCCCAGAAGCAGCAGCAUGUCCCUACUCCAGCUCCUAUGCAGAGGGGAAGCCAGGGGGCUCUG